rnacentral:rRNA from 1 species
ACUAAGCGUACACGGUGGAUGCCCUGGCAGUCAGAGGCGAUGAAGGACGUGCUAAUCUGCGAUAAGCGUCGGUAAGGUGAUAUGAACCGUUAUAACCGGCGAUUUCCGAAUGGGGAAACCCAGUGUGAUUCGUCACACUAUCAUUAACUGAAUCCAUAGGUUAAUGAGGCGAACCGGGGGAACUGAAACAUCUAAGUACCCCGAGGAAAAGAAAUCAACCGAGAUUCCCCCAGUAGCGGCGAGCGAACGGGGAGCAGCCCAGAGCCUGAAUCAGUGUGUGUGUUAGUGGAAGCGUCUGGAAAGGCGCGCGAUACAGGGUGACAGCCCCGUACACAAAAAUGCACAUACUGUGAGCUCGAUGAGUAGGGCGGGACACGUGGUAUCCUGUCUGAAUAUGGGGGGACCAUCCUCCAAGGCUAAAUACUCCUGACUGACCGAUAGUGAACCAGUACCGUGAGGGAAAGGCGAAAAGAACCCCGGCGAGGGGAGUGAAAAAGAACCUGAAACCGUGUACGUACAAGCAGUGGGAGCACGCUUAGGCGUGUGACUGCGUACCUUUUGUAUAAUGGGUCAGCGACUUAUAUUCUGUAGCAAGGUUAACCGAAUAGGGGAGCCGAAGGGAAACCGAGUCUUAACUGGGCGUUAAGUUGCAGGGUAUAGACCCGAAACCCGGUGAUCUAGCCAUGGGCAGGUUGAAGGUUGGGUAACACUAACUGGAGGACCGAACCGACUAAUGUUGAAAAAUUAGCGGAUGACUUGUGGCUGGGGGUGAAAGGCCAAUCAAACCGGGAGAUAGCUGGUUCUCCCCGAAAGCUAUUUAGGUAGCGCCUCGUGAAUUCAUCUCCGGGGGUAGAGCACUGUUUCGGCAAGGGGGUCAUCCCGACUUACCAACCCGAUGCAAACUGCGAAUACCGGAGAAUGUUAUCACGGGAGACACACGGCGGGUGCUAACGUCCGUCGUGAAGAGGGAAACAACCCAGACCGCCAGCUAAGGUCCCAAAGUCAUGGUUAAGUGGGAAACGAUGUGGGAAGGCCCAGACAGCCAGGAUGUUGGCUUAGAAGCAGCCAUCAUUUAAAGAAAGCGUAAUAGCUCACUGGUCGAGUCGGCCUGCGCGGAAGAUGUAACGGGGCUAAACCAUGCACCGAAGCUGCGGCAGCGACGCUUAUGCGUUGUUGGGUAGGGGAGCGUUCUGUAAGCCUGUGAAGGUGUACUGUGAGGUAUGCUGGAGGUAUCAGAAGUGCGAAUGCUGACAUAAGUAACGAUAAAGCGGGUGAAAAGCCCGCUCGCCGGAAGACCAAGGGUUCCUGUCCAACGUUAAUCGGGGCAGGGUGAGUCGACCCCUAAGGCGAGGCCGAAAGGCGUAGUCGAUGGGAAACAGGUUAAUAUUCCUGUACUUGGUGUUACUGCGAAGGGGGGACGGAGAAGGCUAUGUUGGCCGGGCGACGGUUGUCCCGGUUUAAGCGUGUAGGCUGGUUUUCCAGGCAAAUCCGGAAAAUCAAGGCUGAGGCGUGAUGACGAGGCACUACGGUGCUGAAGCAACAAAUGCCCUGCUUCCAGGAAAAGCCUCUAAGCAUCAGGUAACAUCAAAUCGUACCCCAAACCGACACAGGUGGUCAGGUAGAGAAUACCAAGGCGCUUGAGAGAACUCGGGUGAAGGAACUAGGCAAAAUGGUGCCGUAACUUCGGGAGAAGGCACGCUGAUAUGUAGGUGAAGUCCCUCGCGGAUGGAGCUGAAAUCAGUCGAAGAUACCAGCUGGCUGCAACUGUUUAUUAAAAACACAGCACUGUGCAAACACGAAAGUGGACGUAUACGGUGUGACGCCUGCCCGGUGCCGGAAGGUUAAUUGAUGGGGUUAGCGCAAGCGAAGCUCUUGAUCGAAGCCCCGGUAAACGGCGGCCGUAACUAUAACGGUCCUAAGGUAGCGAAAUUCCUUGUCGGGUAAGUUCCGACCUGCACGAAUGGCGUAAUGAUGGCCAGGCUGUCUCCACCCGAGACUCAGUGAAAUUGAACUCGCUGUGAAGAUGCAGUGUACCCGCGGCAAGACGGAAAGACCCCGUGAACCUUUACUAUAGCUUGACACUGAACAUUGAGCCUUGAUGUGUAGGAUAGGUGGGAGGCUUUGAAGUGUGGACGCCAGUCUGCAUGGAGCCGGCCUUGAAAUACCACCCUUUAAUGUUUGAUGUUCUAACGUGGACCCGUAAUCCGGGUUGCGGACAGUGUCUGGUGGGUAGUUUGACUGGGGCGGUCUCCUCCUAAAGAGUAACGGAGGAGCACGAAGGUUGGCUAAUCCUGGUCGGACAUCAGGAGGUUAGUGCAAUGGCAUAAGCCAGCUUGACUGCGAGCGUGACGGCGCGAGCAGGUGCGAAAGCAGGUCAUAGUGAUCCGGUGGUUCUGAAUGGAAGGGCCAUCGCUCAACGGAUAAAAGGUACUCCGGGGAUAACAGGCUGAUACCGCCCAAGAGUUCAUAUCGACGGCGGUGUUUGGCACCUCGAUGUCGGCUCAUCACAUCCUGGGGCUGAAGUAGGUCCCAAGGGUAUGGCUGUUCGCCAUUUAAAGUGGUACGCGAGCUGGGUUUAGAACGUCGUGAGACAGUUCGGUCCCUAUCUGCCGUGGGCGCUGGAGAACUGAGGGGGGCUGCUCCUAGUACGAGAGGACCGGAGUGGACGCAUCACUGGUGUUCGGGUUGUCAUGCCAAUGGCACUGCCCGGUAGCUAAAUGCGGAAGAGAUAAGUGCUGAAAGCAUCUAAGCACGAAACUUGCCCCGAGAUGAGUUCUCCCUGACUCCUUGAGAGUCCUGAAGGAACGUUGAAGACGACGACGUUGAUAGGCCGGGUGUGUAAGCGCAGCGAUGCGUUGAGCUAACCGGUACUAAUGAACCGUGAGGCUUAACC